UCCAGAAUGAACUCAAAUACUAUGUAUAUGUUGUGAUUAAAAAAAUAAGCACAUAAGGUGGUCGAUAUGCUAAUUAGCUUGAUUUAAUCAUUUAAUCAUUAUAUGUGUGUAUAUAUAAUUAAAACAUCACAUUGAAAUAUAUAUACAUUAUACGUCAAUUAAAAUGAAAUAUAUACAAAUAUAUACAUUAUGUGUCAAUUUAAAUGAAAUCUUUUUCAAAAGUAAAUAAAAAGAAGAAAACCACACCUGAAAUCCUGUUCUCAUUUUUAGACUUUGGAGACAUUCUUGAGUGUGUCUCAUCUAUCAGGAAAUAAAUGUGAAUGUUUCUUAACACUGUUAAUGUUAGUCUCAAACUGGAACAACUUCAUAUGGUGGUAUGUAGUGUUACAUAUCUGUGGAAGUAAAUCACAACUACAUGGUUCAACAUGAGUGAAUAUAAAAAGCAGCGUUGAACAAUGAAAGAAAGCUACAGAUGCUUGACAUUGUAUAAUUACAUUUAUAAACAGAUGAAAAUGUGGGCCAAAAUGGCUAAUGUAGUAGGAGUGCAUGCAUAUGUGGAACAGUUGUAACGGAAAGCAAGGGAACAGUGAGUAACAAAUUUAGUUGUUACCCUGUGAAGAGUGACCUGGUGUGAUCUGGUAUGUGCAUGAAAGGACUUUCUAGUUUUCAGUACUGUUCCUGCUGGAAAUGGAUGUGGGUGUUAACCACCCAUGUAGGUGUUUUUAUUUUUCUUUAAACAUCACAUGGGUUUUCAUUUUGUUUUGUUUAAUGAAGGAAAAGUGGUCAAACAUUGUAAGUGACCUGUUGAUAGAAGAAGGUAAUACAUGAUUGGCAGGUAAACAAGGAUCAGCUGAUCAGUAAACAAGGCAGUGCAAAUUAAAACAACCAAAUGUUAUUUCAAACCUAUCAGAGUAGCAAAUUUAAUAAUCUGGAAAACUGAAAUGUCUAGAGGACCCCCAAAUUUUAUACCCUUCUAUUGGAAAUAUCCAUUAUUACCACGACUUUGCAGUGUAAUUUGGCAGUUUCUAAUGAAAACAAAAUUGUGUACUCUGGGAUGUUGUAUUUAAAACUUGAAAAGAGAAAAAAAAAAAAAAAGAAACUAAUGUCCAUCGAUAGGAGCAAGGGUAAGUAAAAUGAACUCUGUAUAUUGAAUAUUUUAUAAUAGUUAACGAAUGUAAACUCGAGGUACAAAUGUCAACAAGGAUUAGGUUUUAAUGUUGUAUUCAGGGAGCUAAAUUAUCUUUCUAAAUCAAUAUUAAAAAUGUGCUCAACAACAAAGUACACCUAGCCAUGCGUGUUCUUAUGUACUUCGUUGUGCUUUCUGUCCCCCUGUUUAUGUGCACAGGUACCCAGUUUUUCAAUUAGAGAAAUAUGUAAGUAGGUAUGAAAAAAAUUCAUGGGACUACCAAACAACAAAGUCACAAUAAUGUUUACCCUUGAGGUAAUAGGAGGGUGAGUGGUGUCAUAUUCUUUGCAAAUUAUACAAAAUGUUAUGAUUGUUUGGUGUAUAGAAGAAUUUUGAGACUUGAAACCCACUGUUCUACAGCUUCAGUACUAAAUGUUUAGAAAACAUUUAUUGAGACAUUUAUUUUUCAAAGAAUGGCAGCUAACAUGUAUUUGGCAGACCCAGCAGAGGGAGCCCACACAAAUCCUGUGUCUAUUUAAUGUGAUUAAAAUUUGUAAUUAAAAAGUUCACACCUGGAACAGUGCUCAGAGAAGCUGUUUUCCUGUUGCGCCUAGAGGUCCUGUUUCAGCAGUUGCGCUGACCCAUGGUCCCUGUGGGUGAAGUGAGGAGUUGUGUCUGCAGUUUCUUGUCAGUCCUGACUUCAGAGUCCUUGUUUCCCUAGUUUGUCCUCAGUCUCCUUUGGUUACAUCCCGUGGGUCACCUCUCUCUGGACUCUCUGUGUCCUGUACAUUCAUGUACCAGCACUUUGUCUUGAAGCUAAGGUGAUUCAUGAUCAGCCUUCCUUCCUGUUUCUGUCUUCAUUAUUAUUUAAAAAAUCCAUUUUCUAAAUGCCUCUUCUUUUUAAAAUUUUUAUGUAAGAAUGUGUGUCUCUCUUUAGUUUCUUCCUUCCUGGGUAGUGGUUUUCAAACUUGGGUGGGUUACCUAGUCCUGGUCCAUGAUCACAUUUUUUUUUUUUCUUUUUAGUUUCUAGGAAAACUGACAAUACAAAAGCAAUGUAGCAAGUUUUAUAAAUGUCUUUCUUCAUUUUAAAGGAUUCUCCUUUGUCUUGAGAUGCUUUCCUUGCACUUUCUUGUGUGUUAACAUACUCUUUCUUUCAUGGAGUGAUAGAGAUUUUAAACACAUGACUGCAUUUGGCAGAUUAAAUCAUUGCUUAUUCAUUAACACAGAUUUGCUUAAUCUAGUCCCUAGACCUUUAUUGAAAUUUUUACCAGUCUAUGAAAUACAGAACUUUAGAUUCUUAUAAAUGAACACAAUAGUUAGGAAGACAUUCUAAAUAUUACAUGGUAAAUAUAUAAUUCAUGAGUAUUUACACAGAAACAAAGACAAGUGGUUUUACAGAAGAAUGAUAAGAGAAUGGAGAAAUAAGCUUUCAUUAUAAUUUUGAUUACACCACAUUACUGAAAUGGUACUUCAGACACUUGUGUUUAACCACUGCCCCCUUUUAAAAAAUUGUCAUGAUCACUCUUUGUCUGUGUAGGAGUGGGGGAAGGGCUUCUCAUCUUGGCUGUGCCCCUUGCCUGUAGUGAUUGCUAGUAGAGUGGGCAUCCUUCAUUUUGAACAAGCCCUUUGGCAUUCUUUGUGGUUUCCUUGUCAGAAACUGCUCUUAUUUAUCAUUAGAAAAUUUCACUUUUGCUCCCUUUGAUGUUCUCUCCCACUUUCCAGAUGGUUCAUUAGAACCCUCCUGCUCCUGGGCUUCACGUUCUGAGCUUCCCCACUGUUACUCUUGUGGUGAGCCAAAGGUAGUCUCUUUAUUCCUGCAUUUGGCCCUGAAUCACUUUUUCUGUCUUUCCGUGAAUGACAGGGUUUUAUUCUUCACCAUGUGGUUAUUGGGUUUCCUUAAUAGCCUCAUGUGGAGGGGCUUUAUUGAGGGCAUUUUAAUUUGGCCUUGAUAGAUUAUAGUCACCAUGUUUCUCUAAUCUCUUCUUUAAAAAUCUUUUAGGCAGAACUCCCCCUGUCAGACACACUUGAAUUGAAACAGAUUUCCUUUAUUUUUUUCUCCCUCUGCCCAAAUGUUUACUUAGUUCUAUCUGAACAGUGAAGUAAAAGGUAACUGGUCACAGCAGGAGUCCAGGGUCCAUUGGAUUUGAGUAUUUGAGUAAUACCUCAUUAUUGCAGGACAAAUGGAGAUUUGGAUGACCAUUUGAAGAGUAGGCCUCUUCUCUGUCGCACAGGGCUUUUGCAGAUAAUUAAUUCUUGCUCAGGAUAAGAAAGACACUAUACAUCUCAGCCUGAGAUCCAUUAUUACACUAUAUAUUAUUUCCUGUAACUAUCACUGUUGCUUUCGCAGCUCACUGCUUUGAAGUUUAUAUAUCUUCAGUGUCUCCAUCUGGUUAGUCGUUCCUUUAGGGUGCCAUGCCAUCUUCUUUGUGUUUCCUGUAUAUGACCCAAGACCCUGAACAGAGUGGCAGUUAAUAGAUGCACUAGGAUGUCUUCUCCAUUUUGGACUGCCAGCUUAAGCUCUGCAAAAGAUGGCAACUGAGAUAUGUAACUGCAUAGUAAUUUACCUGUCUGCUUUUGUGGUCUGAACUCCUCAGCAUUCUUAUAUCUAGUUUUCUUGCUUCAGCCUUCUAGAGGUACAGGUGUAUAGGUAAGGGCCCAAUCACCAGGCAGAAAUCACACUGUGGCUGGAUCAGGGAAAGUAAAAUAUUAAGAUUUAUUUUCCAGGUGUGGUUGCACAUGCCUGUAAUUGCAGCAACUUCAGAGGCUGAAGCAGGAGGAUCGGAAGUUAAAAGCCAGCCUUAGCAAUAUAGGGAGGCCCUAAGCAACUUAGCAAGACUUUGUACUGAAAUAAAAAAUGGGCUGGGGAAGUGGUUCAGGACUCCUGGGUUCAAUUUCUUUUACCAAAAAAAAAUAUUAAAAUAGCUCAGAAGUAGCGGUGGUAGGCUGGUGGAACUGCUGGAACAACACCCUGACAUUUUAUGAUAAUAUGCCUUCUAGGUGCUGGCAAAGGAUGUUUGGUGAGAAGUGUCUUGUAGGAAGCACAGUGGUAUGAAAGUAACCCAAAGGAAGAGCUGACCUUUCUGGGAACUCCUUGGGGAGCUGAGUACUGCAGCCUGCACUGCAGGGCUGGACACUGGAGCCCAGAGGACUCAGCACAAAGUCCUUCCUUUGCAACAUCUCUGCAGUGACCUCUAUUGACAGAGCCUAACAUUUUGUCAGCUGGCAAAGGACAAAUUUUUCAGGGGCCAACUCAGUUUCCACAAAGUAGGCCUUGAUUUGUGGCUUAGAAGCAACAAAUUAAAAAGUGGUAGAGUCAGCUUUCAACCUCUUCUGAAUGUCUAGAAGCCUUUAGGGAGAUAGGCUGUUAUUCAUCCAAUAAAUGGGUUGCCAGGGGAAGUCACAAUUAAGGAGGGAAAGAUAAUUGUUCUUAAUUCUGAUUUGAUAUUUCUGAGUAUAAUUUGGUAGUGGAGAAGCUUUCUAGUUAUUAAUUCUUAUUUUAUAGAACAACUAAAGGAGAGAGGAUAUUCUGAAGGGUAAAAUCCUAUAUUCCUGAACCAGCUAUAGCUUCGGAAGAGAAACACAUGAAUAUCCUUUAUAUUCCUUUCCUCCAGGAUCUCAAGAAAAUUCCUGCUAUUUACAUUCUACAUUUGCUGUUGAAAGCUAAGAGUGCCUCAUUAGGUUUUACUGAAUUCACAUAAUUACAGUAACAAUGUCUUUUUUACUAGCCUAAGUGAUAUGUGAAAGUAGCAGAAAUAUUUUCACAACAAUAUUAUGCUCUUUCACAGACUUCGCACCUUGCCAGGGACAGCAUUUCUUUGCCUGGUGCAUAUUACUGAAUGCUUCUUCUCUGGAUGGAGUGGCAUAAUUUCACAUUUUCAGCCUGGUAGGUGCAGGUGGGUAGUAGGUGAGAGGCAUUAUCAGCCAACCUCUGAACCACCCAUGAUGCAGUCCUUUGAACUGUAUGUUCAGAUCACCAAGUCUAUUCCUCGAUGUAAAAAAUGGUUUUCCUGCUGAUUGACUUAUAAUGUACCCUUUACCAGGUCCUUUUGGUGUUUUCUUAGAUUUCUUCUUCUUCUUCUUCUCCUUCUCCUUCUCUCUCUCGUACCAGGGAUUGAACAUAGUGGUGCUUACCCACUGAGCCACAUCUACAUCGCUUUUUUAUAUUUUAUUUAGGGAAAAGGUCUUGCUGAGUUGCUUAGAGUCUUGCUAAGUUACUGAGGCUGACUUUGAACUUGCAAUCCUCCUGCCUCAGUCUCCUUAUCCUCUGGGAUUAUAGGCAUGUACCAUUCACCUGACUCUUCUGAAUUCUUGUCCUGGACUUUCUAAUGCCAUUCUCUUGCCUUGAUUUAUCCUAGAGCGGAUCUCUCUGAAAUCAUAAACUCUUUAUUAAUCCAACAGAUUUCAGAGAUUCAAAAAAAAAAAAACUUCUUAAAUUAGAUAUACCUUUUUAACACAAUGUUAUUUUUUAGCUAUUUUUUCAGCAAUGAGACCUUGUAAUUUUGAAUGGGAUUGAGAGCAUUCCAUCAUAGCAAUGAUUUCUAUGAUUUCAAAUUAUUGCUAUGAUUUCUAACCACCUUUCGUCAUUUUAGAAUCCAGUGAGAGCUAUGGGCAGUCCCCACAAAUAUACCUACUUGAAUAUAUACAUGGAGGGUUUUGUGUGUAGUUUAAGGUUUUUUCCAGGCUUCUGGAUUACAUUAUGUAAUUUGAAGUCAGUGUAAAUGUUAAAGAGAUAGUUUCAACCUCUAAGUGAAUAAUUCCCAUGCUAAAUCUGUUUGUAAAGUGGAAAAACAAUUCUUUCUCUCCCUACUUACAGGAUGGCAGAGAAUGCUGCUAAAUUUGAGAAUGACCAGAUGUGACCUGCUGAGAUGAUUUGAGAAUCAGGUUCCAAAACAGGAGUUAAGAAUCAGUGGUGUGUAGGAACAAAGGUUGAGUUGAGUGUGUUUGGGAAAGCCAAGAAAAUAGUUUCUGAAAGGCAUUAUACAUUAAUAUAUGCUAUUGGGUUUAUUAUAUAUCCCAUAUCAUUUCUUCCCUAUAGCAAGGAUCUUUCCUAAGUAGUAGCCAUUUCACAAUGAAGAAAUAGAAAUAGUUGGCCAGUGAAGACAGAGAUACCUGGAAAUCAGACUCAGAUACAGAGUUGGGUAGCAUGAAUCCUGUGGGGAAUAGGUCCUACUACACAUCGAGUAAAAGUUGACCCUUGGAGUUCUGUUAUGUGUUGGAGUUUAAAUAAUUUGUUGUAUUUUGUGUAGUUUGAGUUAAGCUUACGUCAAAACAGAGAAGGUUUUAUGUUAGCCAAAUGGAAAUAAUAACUUUCUAACCAUAAGGAUUCUGAGAGAGAGAACAAAUUUUAAGGGAACUUGGGUUUACCUUCUUCAGAUUGAUGGUUCUCAGUUUUUAAUUAUUUUUUCUUUUUUUUAGGUCACAGACUUCUAGAUAAGGUGCCCUGAUUUUAUUUCUACUUUCAGGCAAAAGAAACUCAGUGACAACAAUGAUAUAUCUCUUGUUGGGGAAUUUUGUGGGUUCUUCAGAGGAGCAGAACCAAUUAAGACAUACAAAAGAUCUAUUAUAAGGAAUGGCUCACAUGGUUUUGGAAUCUGUAGUUCCAUCUUGAGCCUGAAGGUCCGACAAUCAGCGGAGACAAUGGUGCGAGUUCCAGUUUGAGUCUGAGAACCUGGAGACUCUGUGUCAAUUUGGAAAGAAGUAGAGAGAAAAUUCUUUCUUCCUCUUCCUUUAAUUGUAUUCAGGUGUUCAAUGGAUUAGGCAAAGCUACCACAUUGAGGCAGUGUGCUUCACUCAUUCUGCCAAAUCAAGCCUUAUUCUCAUCCAGAAACGCCCUCAACAGACACCUAGAGUAAUGUUUCACCUGAUUUCAGCAUUCUGAGGCCCAGAUGACACAUGGCAUGAGUUGUCACACUGUUCUUGGACAUCUGUCACCAUGGUGGAAUAUGGAGCAGCCCCAGUCAGUUCUACGAACUACUAAAUUCUGUUCUAUAAAUGCCUCUUUUUAGUAACUCCUGGCACAUCACUUAGUCAGUUACUUAGUAAAGAGUGCUUAUCUGUACAUGAAGGUGUAAAAAUAUGGAAUUAUGCCAUUUUUGGCCUUUAAGACUGAAUAAAGUUGAACUUUUG